UACAGAGGGUGCGAGCGUUAAUCGGAAUUACUGGGCGUAAAGCGUGCGUAGACGGUUAUUUAAGUCGGGUGUGAAAGCCCCGGGCUCAACCUGGGAAUUGCAUUCGAGACUGAAUAGCUAGGGUACGGUAGAGGGAAGCGGAAUUUCCGGUGUAGCGGUGAAACGCGUAGAUAUCGGAAGGAACACCAGUGGCGAAAGCGGCUUCCUGGACCAGUACCGACGUUCAGGCACGAAAGCGUGGGGAGCAAACAGG
rnacentral:rRNA from 1 species